rnacentral:rRNA from 1 species
UACGAAGGGGGCUAGCGUUGCUCGGAAUCACUGGGCGUAAAGGGUGCGUAGGCGGGUCUUUAAGUCAGGGGUGAAAUCCUGGAGCUCAACUCCAGAACUGCCUUUGAUACUGAGGAUCUUGAGUACGGGAGAGGUGAGUGGAACUGCGAGUGUAGAGGUGAAAUUCGUAGAUAUUCGGAAGAACACCAGUGGCGAAGGAGACUCACUGGACACAUAUUGACGCUGAGGUGCGAAAGCGUGGGGAGCAAACAGG